CAAUCUUUGUCAGUCCCCAUAGACCGCUAUGUUAUAGUGUUAAAUGCUAAAUUAAUUCAGACACCUGUUUGUUGGUGUACACCUGUCCAGGCUGCACUCACUCUCAAAGUGGACCUCUCCAGCAGAGUUCAGAAGAGAAACCGAAGGAGCCAAGGCAGUCAUGAAAUGUGAACAUCUGUGUCGACAAGUGUUACAUGUAUGCGCUGCAUUGAAGAGCUCAACUUCCUGUAGAUACAAGAGGUAGCGAUACACUGGGAUCUGACAGUAAGAGAUAACCUGCCAUCAGCGGGCCGUCUAUUUUUAACAGCAGUUGUCAUUUGAGGAGGUGGAGCUGAGAGUCAUUUUCAGGCAUUCACGAGCAGAUUGUUGGAAGCUCCUUGGGAAAAAG